AGAGUUUGAUCCUGGCUCAGGAUGAACGCUGGCGGCGUGCCUAACACAUGCAAGUUGAGCGAUUUACUUCGGUAAAGAGCGGCGGACGGGUGAGUAACGCGUGGGUAACCUACCCUGUACACACGGAUAACAUACCGAAAGGUAUGCUAAUACGGGAUAAUAUAUUUGAGAGGCAUCUCUUAAAUAUCAAAGGUGAGCCAGUACAGGAUGGACCCGCGUCUGAUUAGCUAGUUGGUAAGGUAACGGCUUACCAAGGCGACGAUCAGUAGCCGACCUGAGAGGGUGAUCGGCCACAUUGGAACUGAGACACGGUCCAAACUCCUACGGGAGGCAGCAGUGGGGAAUAUUGCACAAUGGGCGAAAGCCUGAUGCAGCAACGCCGCGUGAGUGAUGAAGGCCUUCGGGUCGUAAAACUCUGUCCUCAAGGAAGAUAAUGACGGUACUUGAGGAGGAAGCCCCGGCUAACUACGUGCCAGCAGCCGCGGUAAUACGUAGGGGGCUAGCGUUAUCCGGAUUUACUGGGCGUAAAGGGUGCGUAGGCGGUCUUUCAAGUCAGGAGUGAAAGGCUACGGCUCAACCGUAGUAAGCUCUUGAAACUGGGAGACUUGAGUGCAGGAGAGGAGAGUGGAAUUCCUAGUGUAGCGGUGAAAUGCGUAGAUAUUAGGAGGAACACCAGUUGCGAAGGCGGCUCUCUGGACUGUAACUGACGCUGAGGCACGAAAGCGUGGGGAGCAAACAGGAUUAGAUACCCUGGUAGUCCACGCUGUAAACGAUGAGUACUAGGUGUCGGGGGUUACCCC
rnacentral:rRNA from 1 species